CCCGGACUACUUUGGAAUGUCCACAAAUCAGAAGCAGACUCAAACCAGAGGAAUAAAAAUGUGUCAUCCUCUGAAUCAUCUUACCCCAGAAAUAUGAAGAAGCCAGCCCUGCUAUUCAUGAAGCUUCUUUCUCAAUGUUUCCUGUAGGUGUGGAAGCAGCAGCUGCCGCCCUGAGAGACCAGACACCUUAUCUGAGGACUCCACGCACCCCUGCUUGAUGAGCCUUCAUGUUACAGAAAGCAAACCUCAUCCAGCCCUAUCCUCAAAAUACUGUCUGGGGAAUUGCGUGUUUAUGGACUAAACCUGGAUAGUACACAUGAUAAAAGAACAUAGUCCCUGGAUGCAAAAUGAAUAAGUAAGAUAUACCUCACAGAAGCACACCUAUUGCAAAUCUGGAGCCUCAAGUUUAAUUGCCUUGAACUUGAACAGUGACAGAGCAAGAAAGGUAAAACACCAUAGAGGUUGCAGAAUAUCCUGCUUGAAGAGGAAGAAGAAGGGGAAGAUGUCAGCCAAGGGGACAUUUCUGCUGUGCCUUGAAGGACGGACUGAAUUUUUCCAGGUGUACAACGUAGUGAUUCAAGAAUUGUAUACAUUACUCAAUGCUCACCAUGGCUGACAGCAGCAAGCCCAAUGUGGGGCUCGAACUCAUGAACCGCAAGAUCAUGACCUGAGCCGAAGUUAGACGCUCAACCAACUGAGCCACCUAGGCGCCCCUUUUUUAUUAAAUUUUUACUGAGCCCCUAUUAUGUGCUGUUUCCCUGGAUUCAAAAGAAUUCUACACACACACACACAUACACACACACACACACACACACACGCAUGCACCCCUUUGAGUAUCUCAUGAUUUUGCCUUUCUGGAGAGUAGAUGUGUUGCUAUUUGCCUGUUAUUAUAGCAAGAAAGAAUCCAAUAUUUGCACACCAGUUGAUCCAUGAAUGUCAACAUAGCGCAGGCACCUUCUGUCCUCCUAAACUGUUAAUCUGUGAACUCAGAUGAAGGUUAGAAACUCUCACUAAAUGUUUAAAAUUCCUUUUGGAUGCUUCUGUCAGACUGCAAUUUUCAAAUAUGUGAAUGGUACAUAUGCUAAAUGAGGCACUCGUCACCCCCACUCUUUUAGUAAAGUCCUCGUAUUCAAAAUCCCAGGAAUAUUUCCCACCAUUAAAAACCCGUAAGUGAGGAUACAACUAAACUGUUGGGCUUUUGAAAACUUGGGGACACAGCUGUGCAGAAAAGACAGAGCCCCUCAGGAACUGGAUGAAAACAGAAGUGAGACCAACAACAAUUAGCGAUCUUAAGAGGAAUUUUAAGAGGUAAUGGUAAAUCUUCAAGGUGUUUUAUAGUAUCAUUAUGCUUCAAAUCUCCCAGAUGCCACAAAUAUUUAACUUUACACAUAUAUCACUUAGGUAUCAUAUGUAUGUGUGUGUGUGCCCCAUAAUAUUUAUGGAAAUAUUUUGGGAAUAUCUGUAAAUCUGGCUUAGAACAUUUUGCAACCCCAUUUUUCUCUGCCUCAAAAGAAGAAAACUAUGUAACAAAAUGAAAAGCAUAUUCCAGAUCAUUUUUACAGUUGUAGGAGCUCGACAUUUUUCUGUAAACAUAGAGUGCUUUCCAUGCGUUGUCUUGGUGAUCCAAUGUUACACCUGGUAUUGCUAUUAAUGACAUGCUACUUCCAAAGCCAUGAGCAACUCUUGGUAAAUUUCCAAACAAAACAGCAUACUUUUUCCUCAAUAAACCUGGUAGUUGCAUUUCUGAGAAAUUCAACACAUAUUAAAACUGUGCAAAAAUUACUUCGUAUAUGUAAAAUAGUGUUGUUCUGUGCUCAGAUAAUUAUAAAGUGUUUUUUCACCUGUAUGCAUGUCCAAUCCGACAUUAAAAUAUCAUGUGGGAUAUGUGUUAUGGGUUGAAGUGUGAGUCCCAAAACUUCACAUUUUGAAGUCACGUCCCCAAGGGCCUCAGAACGUGACCUUAUUUGGGAAUAGGUUCAUUGCAGAUGUAAUUAGUCAAAAUGAGGUCAGACUGGUAUAAGGAGGGCCCCUAAUGCAAUAUGACUGGUGUCUUUCUAAGAAGGGGAUAUUUGGACACAGACAAAUGCACACAUCAUUCAUACGCCGUGUGAAGAUGAAGGCAGAGGUGGGUGGUGCUUUACAAGCCAAGGAACGUCAAGGAUUUCCGGCAAACCAGCAGAACGUAGGAAAGAGGCAUGGGACAGAUCCUCCCUCAUGGCCCUCAGAACGAUCCAACCCUGAUGACACCUUGCUCUCAGACUUCUAGACUCCAGAACUAUGAGACAAUAAAUUUCUGUGCUUUAAACCA